rnacentral:lncRNA from 10 species
AUCUGUGUGACCCUGACUGAAUUAAUUAAUUUUGAUGUGUCUCAGUUUCUCCAACUUUAAAAUGGGGAUAAUAGUACCAUUUACUUCACAGGGUUGCUGUGAGGUUUAAGUGAGUUAGUAUAUGUAAGACAUUUAGAAUGAUGCUUGGCACAUAAAAAACUAUUAUGAUUAUUCUACUGUUAUCCUUGCCUCACCUUUGAAAUCCUAUAAUCCAGCCUUGACAUAGCACCUGUGGUACUUUUCACAAAUGAAAAUUUGACCAAGACACCCUCCUACUUAAAACCCUAUAGGGUUUGUCUGCCUUAGCCCCCAGUCACCUAAGCCUGUCCUACAAGGCCCUCCAUGAUCCAACAGUCUGAAAGAAUACAUAUGCGACACGGUGUGGAGGAAGCCCUAGCGAAGAGCAGCUGUCUGAGGGGAGGGGUGCAGUGCUGGGAUUUGGAGUUCGGGGAUGGCAGUUUGCACAUACUGAAACUGAGGUGUUUGGGGACAUCCAGAUCAAGAUGACUAUAAGCAUAUGAAGAAGAGUGGAAUUCUGAUGAGAGGACAAAUCUGGAAAUUAGGAUUUGAAGCUGUCAGUAAUUAAAGGCUUGUGUUAAAUCAAAUGGCCUUGGAGGAGGAGCAAGGGGAGAAGAGGGUGCAGGAUAACACCCUGAGGAACCCCAUGUUUCCACAGUGGAUGCACAGGAAAGGGAGGCAUCAGAGAAGCUGAGGAGGAAGUUGUUUCAAGAAGUAGAGUGUGGUCAUAGCCUGUGUGCUGGAGGAUUAACAUACAAAACAACAUCAACAACAAAACGAGUAGAGAGUGGUCAGAAGAGUGCAAUUCAUUGGUCUAGGAGGGUAAAGGUCUCAGAGGGUAAAGACUGCAGAGUCCUGUGGAUUUGGUAAUCAGAGCCAUGCAAGAGCAAUUUAUUGUUUCAUCAUAGGAGAUGCACAUUCCCAACUUCCAUUGGGAAUUCUCAGUCCAUUCAACCUCCCAAAGUGCUUGGAUUACUGGCCUGAGACACCAUGCCUGGCUUUUCCUUCAUUCUUAAUACCACUGCUAUCUGACUUUCACUCCUCGCCAUUCAUUGAAGCUGUCUGGCUAAGUUACCAAGAGUUACUACAUCCGAGAGAUUUCUCUGUCACUAACACUUGACACUGAUCUUUGUCUAAUAAUGCUGUCUUUAUUGGUUUAUCUUUGAUUUUCCUCCUAGUUCUCUGGCAAUAAUUCUCUGUCUUCUUUUAUGGCUUUUUUUCCUUUACCUACCCUUAAAUAUUUAUAUUCUCCAAAGUUAUGUCCUUGGCCAUUUUCUCUCUCUUCUUUGGCAAUUUCAUCUCUUCCUAUGACUUCACCCACCAUUUAUAUGAUGAUGACUUCAAGAUCUCUAUCUAUAACCCAGACCUCUUUCCUUUGCUUCAGAUAAGUAUAUCUAACUACUUGCCAAACAUCUUUUCCUGGAUAUCCUCAAAUAUUUUUGUUCUCAAAUGAACUCCAAAUCUCUAAUCUGUUAUUCCAAACCUCAGUUGAUAGCAUUAGCAUUCCUCCAGCUGCCACAGCCAAAAACUCAAGGGUCACCCUAAUCUCUCACCUUACCAUCCAUAUGGUGACCAAAAUCUGUUCAUCUACUUUUUAAAAUUCCCUUCUAUUGAGUAUGGAGUCAGGCACUCUCAUAUUUUGCUUGUGGAAAUGUAAAUUGUUACAACCCUUACUUAUUAUGGCAAUUUGAGGUAUAUAGCAAAAGUUUUAAAAAUGUGUAUAUCUUUUCUCCUAACAAUUUCAUGUCUAGUAAUUUAUCCUAAGGGAAUAAUUGGAAAUGUGUACAAAGAUACAUGUAUAAGAAUGAUUAUACUAGCAAAAUUUUAUAAAGUACCUAAAUUUUCAAUAAGAUUCCUUAAAUACACCAUUUUGUAAUAAAUUUUAUUUAUUUUUAUAAUAAACAAUAUUUGCUUCCUGAAAGGGCAUACGAUAAUAUAUUAACAAUGGUAAUUUUAGGUAGUAGGAUUUUAGACCUUUUUUCUUUGUGCUUCUCUGAGUUAUCUGCAUUUUCUACAUUCAGCGUAUAUUUAUUUUGGAGUUAGACAAAAUAAAUUAUUUUAAAAAUUC